rnacentral:rRNA from 1 species
AUUGAACGCUGGCGGCAGGCUUAACACAUGCAAGUCGAGCGGUAGCACAGGGGAGCUUGCUCCCUGGGUGACGAGCGGCGGACGGGUGAGUAAUGUCUGGGAAACUGCCUGAUGGAGGGGGAUAACUACUGGAAACGGUAGCUAAUACCGCAUAACGUCGCAAGACCAAAGAGGGGGACCUUCGGGCCUCUUGCCAUCAGAUGUGCCCAGAUGGGAUUAGCUAGUAGGUGGGGUAAUGGCUCACCUAGGCGACGAUCCCUAGCUGGUCUGAGAGGAUGACCAGCCACACUGGAACUGAGACACGGUCCAGACUCCUACGGGAGGCAGCAGUGGGGAAUAUUGCACAAUGGGCGCAAGCCUGAUGCAGCCAUGCCGCGUGUGUGAAGAAGGCCUUCGGGUUGUAAAGCACUUUCAGCGAGGAGGAAGGUGGUGAGCUUAAUACGUUCAUCAAUUGACGUUACUCGCAGAAGAAGCACCGGCUAACUCCGG